UUCAGUACAAAAAUUGAAAGUUGUACAUGGUGGACUGUGUUAAGUUGUACAAUGGAGAAUAUACAACCAUUUUAGACUGCCGAAAUUUCGGUGUCCAUAACUUCUUGGAAAACUACUGUUUUGUACUUAUGAUUUCCUUUCAAGUUGAUGUUAUGCAUUGUGAUACUAAUUAUAUUGAUGUAGCUUAUACCCAUUAUAUCUCACAGUUACAACAAAGUGGGUUGCUUAAAGGGGAUGAUCUCACGGAUCGCUUUUUCCGAAUCCUCAUGGAAAUUUCUGUAGUAAAUUGUUUGGCUACUGACAUGAUUUAUCCAAGCUCAUUGUCCCUACAAACGCCACAACAAGUCCAGCAUCUCUCAUUUGCUGUUAUUGAUAUGUAUGCAAAGCUUGUGGUUUUAGUUAUUAAGUUUGGGUAUCUAUGAACAGUAUCAGGAGCAAUGGGAUGAUCUGUUGCAACCCCAUGUGUUGUGGGUUUGUUGUAUAUGAAGUUCGAUCAAUAAUGGUAACUCCCUCUCCUUUUUGUUGCAUUGUAAAAAGAAAUGCAUUUGCUUGGUUUGUUGGUUGCAGGUGGUUUAGUGGAAAAUCACAUCUACUUUGCAAACCAUGUCGAGAUUUUUGGAGGUAAGCAGGCACGGUCAUUGUGGAUGGGGCAUCCUGUAAUUGACGACCCGUGCACAUUACGAUACUAGCCAUGUAUAUAACAUGUUCCCCCAUUUUAACAAUGGAAAUGUGGAAUUUGUUGCUGUAAUUUUUUGUUUGAUUCAAAUCAAACUCCUUCCAUCUCAUGACUUAGUUGGGAUUCUUGUGCAAAUAAUGGAAUAUAUACAUGUCUUUUAAUGGAUGUUGUGAAAUGAGGUUUGUUCAUGGAUC